UGCCACUACUUGCUCUGUGACCUUGGACAGGUUACUUGAUCUUUCUAUGCCCUAAUAUCCUCAUCUAUAAAAUAAAGGAUAAUAAUAGUGUCUGACUCAAGAGUUCUUGUGAAAAUUAAAUGAGAUAGAAUGUGUAAGGGCUUAGAAGAGUGCGUGGCAUAUAGUUAUGUGUGAUGAUAACAGCUAUAAAAAUAAGUUAGGAAAGCAGGCAAGGGGUGAGGCAGCUUGUGAGGGAGAUUGAGCUCCUGGUCACGUUUCUGUCCAUCCCAGGCUGAUGGUGCGCUCAGGGGGCAGCCCCCUAUCCCCCGUGAUCUAUGAUUCGGACAUGGACGAUGUCCCUGAGCGGGGUCUCAUCAGUGACGCCCAGUCCCUCUACGUGGAGCUGCUGUCAGAGACACCUGCCAAUCCCCUGCUGUUAAGCCUCCGAUUUGAAGCCUUUGAGGAGGAUCGCUGCUUCGCCCCCUUCCUGGCACAUGGAAAUGUCACUACCACGGACCCUGAGUAUCGCCCAGGGGCACUGGCAACCUUCUCGUGCCUCCCAGGAUAUGCCCUGGAGCCCCCUGGGCCCCCCAAUGCCAUCGAAUGUGUGGAUCCCACAGAACCCCACUGGAACGACACAGAGCCGGCCUGCAAAGCCAUGUGUGGAGGGGAGCUGUCGGAACCAGCUGGCGUGGUCCUCUCUCCCGACUGGCCCCAGAGCUAUAGCCCGGGCCAAGACUGCGUGUGGGGCCUGCACGUCCAGGAAGAGAAGCGCAUCUUGCUCCAAGUUGAGAUAUUGAAUGUGCGGGAAGGGGACAUGCUGACGCUGUUCGACGGGGACGGUCCCAGCGCCCGAGUCUUGGCCCAGCUGCGGGGACCUCAACCGCGCCGCCGCCUUCUCUCCUCUGGGCCCGACCUCACACUGCAGUUUCAGGCACCGCCCGGGCCCCCAAAUCCAGGCCUGGGCCAGGGCUUCGUAUUGCACUUCAAAGAGGUCCCGAGGAACGACACGUGCCCCGAGCUGCCACCUCCGGAGUGGGGCUGGAGGACGGCAUCCCACGGGGACCUGAUCCGGGGCACGGUGCUCAC
rnacentral:sRNA from 1 species